rnacentral:rRNA from 1 species
GAGUUUGAUCUUGGCUCAGAUUGAACGCUGGCGGCAGGCCUAACACAUGCAAGUCGAGCGGUAGAGAGAAGCUUGCUUCUCUUGAGAGCGGCGGACGGGUGAGUAAUGCCUAGGAAUCUGCCUGGUAGUGGGGGAUAACGCUCGGAAACGGACGCUAAUACCGCAUACGUCCUACGGGAGAAAGCAGGGGACCUUCGGGCCUUGCGCUAUCAGAUGAGCCUAGGUCGGAUUAGCUAGUUGAUGAGGUAAUGGCUCACCAAGGCGACGAUCCGUAACUGGUCUGAGAGGAUGAUCAGUCACACUGGAACUGAGACGCGGUCCAGACUCCUACGGGAGGCAGCAGUGGGGAAUAUUGGACAAUGGGCGAAAGCCUGAUCCAGCCAUGCCGCGUGUGUGAGGAAGGUCUUCGGAUUGUAAAGCACUUUAAGUUGGGAGGAAGGGCAGUAAAUUAAUACUUUGCUGUUUUGACGUUACCGACAGAAUAAGCACCGGCUAACUCUGUGCCAGCC